AGGAAUAUUUAAACUAUUAUUUUCAUUAUUUAAUAAUCUGUUAUCAGUCAGAACCCUGGCAAACUUAUUUUCAGCAGUUUUUUUAGUGGAAGUCACAAAUAAAGGAGCUCUUGGUUUUUCCCAGCGUUACUGAGUCCAAAGCUGCUGUUUCAACACAGACACAUUCACAUGCAUCCACAAACCUCUCAGCACUCAAACACCCACAGACAGGAGGCCGGCUGGACCGAGGCUCGGCAGCGUCCUCAGACCCACGAGUCGGGGAACUUGUUGGUCCGGUUUGAAGGCCUCCGUGUGGUCCAGUAGAAGUCCACGUAGUCGGUGUUGGCUUUGAACCACAGCGACUGGCCUCCAUCAGCUGACGUGGAUGUUUGAUGGUCUUCCUCUCUAGUGCCAGAUGAUUCAUCCAUGAAUUCAGCAGCUACAGACUGAAAUGAAGCUCAUGCUGCCGUUAUUGAAUUCCUGUUCCAGAUCAAAUGUUCAGAGCUCACCUUGAAUGCAGCCGUCUGCUGUCUGAUAGUUUUUCUCAUUGUAGUCUUCAAUAAAGUCUUUUUCCUCAUGUCA